rnacentral:lncRNA from 1 species
GAAAGAUUCAAGGAUAGCGAUAUAGACCUUCGCGGACAAGAUUUCCGACUCAUACCAUUUGGCUCAGGCAGAAGAAUUUGCCCAGGUUUGCAGUUGGGGCUCACUGUUGUGCGUUUUGUGCUAGCACAGCUGGUGCAUUGUUUCAGUUGGGAACUUGCAGAUAACAUUCAGCCAACUGACUUGGAUAUGUCUGAGGCUUUUGGUUUAGUAAAUUCAAGGGCUAAGCAUUUAAAAGUGGUGCCCAUUUACCGAUUGCACAAAUAAAUAAAGAUUGUGGACUCCAUCUCGUUCUGAAGAAGCAGCUUCUUCCUCGAGCAUUAGACAGUACAGAAGUUUCGGAAUUCUUAUAUAUCUUGAUGUUGCAUUUGUCAAUUGUUACAUUUUCCUUGCUAAUUUCAUAGUGAAAACAUUGUUAAGUGGAUUUGUUUUUAUUUUUUGCUUUUGUAGUUAAGUAGAUUUUUUUUUCUUUGUUAAUUGGAUUAUCCAGUUACAUUAUGGAAAGGUAUUCAUUUGUUUGAUUUUUAUCAACAACGUUCCAAAAUAUUAUAUUAAGUGGGAUAAGAUCUGGGGAAAUUUAGCUAAGCCAUUUUAAAGUUUUUGAUAAGUAUGAUUGGCUGCCGAAUAACCGAUUCGGAUUCACAGAUUGAAUUCUGUCCAGUUCAAACCCUGUUUGUAUAAUUCUUACUAUAUUUUGUAUAAAUUCAUAUAGCAUUGGUGUAAAAUAAGUUAUAUGAGUUGAUAAAUUUAAAUCUAUGUCAAAAUCAUAUAAAUUUACACCAAAAGUUGUAAGAAUUGUAUCAACUAAUUGAACAAAACUCAACUUGGGAGAGCAGUUUCCAUCUAAUGACAUUUUAAACUGGGUGGGACAAAUUCUUGGUCUUGCGAUGCCCAACGAAGUUAGCCGUAUUGAUGUCUUGAUAGAAUUUUAAAAUGGAACUAUCAUCAUGUGCAUUAUGAGCUGUUGUAAAUUACUGAAAGGCCUUAGUUUCAUAUUUUCUCUUUCUCAUGUGGUGGCUAUUUUGUUUUCAAGGAUUUUUCAAUGUGCCUGUCAUAUUCAAAUAAUUUCUGUCCUUGCUCAGAUCAAUUGUAUUUGCUUUUUGGGAUAAUUUCAGAAACCUCCCCUGAGGUUUCUGACAAUUUCACUGACCUCCCCUGAGGUUUCCACAAUUACACUAACCUCCCUUGAGGUUUCUGAUUUUGUAACAAAAUCAGCCCAUGACUACAAAAGUAAACAUAAAAAAGUGUUUUCAGGAAAGAGAGGAAAUUUUGUUCCCAUAAAUGCCCUUAAGGUAGGUAUAUAAGUUAUAUUAGUGAAUUAAUGAAAACUAAUAAAAAUCAGAAAUAAAUAAGAAAAAGUGAGGGGCUGUUAGUGAAAUAAGAAAUAUAAGUGGCAUUAACACCAGAAAUCUGAUCCAGAUUCUCUUGCUUCCAUUUGACAUAGUCUAUGCGGCUGAAUUUGGUGAAUUCUGAAUGGCCCGCUAAUGAUAAUCUUUUGGCGACCAGGAAACUUGAACCUGGCAUUGCUCAAAGCUGAGAUGAGCAUGGUGGCUGUUAGCAUCCUUGCAGCAUGCAAAGAGACUCCCUGACCAAUAGCAACACGAGCACAUGUUCCUUAUGGCUUCCCAAAAGCACCUCUCAUACCAUAUUGAAGCAUAUCAGCUCCAGCAAAUUGAAAACAUCUUGUUAAUAUGCAGGACAUGGAAAGGAUGAACUCUAACCCUCAAAUAGAAUGCGUCCUUCCUAGCAUACUUAGUCACGUACUUGUUGCAAGCAAUACAAACAGUCUCAAGUGCUUCACAGGAGACAUUCUCCUUUUCCCAACUAACCAAGUGGACAUAGAAUGGGAACUCAUCAACUCCCUUCUUCUUCAUGCCAACAUCAUAGAUCUUGAUCUUUGGAUCUGGAACACCACGGCAGUAACUUGACUUUGGAUAGGAUUUGUUUUUUAUUUUCAACAUAUUCUGAACCAGCAUUAAGAAGUGCAGAAACUAAGAAGUGAAUUGAACAAGUUCAUGAGCAGUGCAGAAACUAAGUUAUUUGUCACAGGCUGAAGUUGCAACAUUCAGAUCCAUUAAAUGAAACAAGAACUAAAACAGUCAUUUAUAAAACCUUAACAGUAAUAAGGUGCAAACCAAAACUGCAAUCCAAGAGUAAUAUCAUUACAAAUUUCAUAACCAUACAUUAAAUAAAUAGAAAUGCAAUCCAAUACUAUCCAAAACACCAUCUGCCUUAAAGCAAUUCAGGCAAAGGGUGAGGAUUGCAAAACCAUUGUUUAGUUAUAGUUAUAGUUUCACAAAACACCGUAUACAAAAGCAUGAGUAAGCAGUAUAUUAAUGAACUAUACUUCACAAAGCACCACUAAGCACAAAAGAAGAGAAAUGUAAGCAUAACAGUAGCAAUUAGAAAUGCAGGCUAAAACUACUGCUGGUGCUAAUAUUGGCAGAGUUCAGAGUUGCAGCUGCAUUCAUGCUAACAGAUGUAGUAGCUUGAGCAUCACCAAGGGCUUGAACAGGAGUUGUUGACAGAUGAUUAGUUGGUUGAGCAAGUUCUGGUGCAACUCUUCUGCGAGAACCUGUUGCAGCAUUUGUCGAAGUAGCAUUUGAAGGCCUUCCUCUCUGCAGUUGUUCAAAAUAGAAGAGUUUGUGCCUUAUUGAAUAUAUAUGUAGUAGCACUAGAUUGGAUUUCAUAAUAAAAGAGCCCGUACCUUUCUUUUAGAGGCAAUUGUACCUGUUUGUACAUUAACUUGAACAUUUAUGGCAGCAUUUCCAGUAGAAGGAUUUGAAUUGCUACCUAUACUUGAAUGCACAACAGGCACAUUCCCAUGUGCAUGAUCCUGUCAUAAUAAAUUUACAUGUUAAUGUAAUAUGAUUAGGUAACACUAAGGACUAAUUGCGUAAUUGAAAGAUGAUUUAUACCCAGAGAACAGAUCAUUUCAGUCCUAAAUUUGCAAUUCCUCUGCCUGGUUUCCCUCUUCUAGUUGGCAUCUGUCAUGAAGUAAACAACAUAAGCAGUUGAUGAGUCAAGCAAGAACAUUUAAUUUGUACAAAUAUGUGUAUGAUGAUACCUGUUGAGCAUGAGUAUUAGCCGGAUUCUUUCUUUGCAUAGGAGCUCUUUGACAUGUUCUCAUGUUGUGACCAAACUGACCACAAUUUCCACACUUUAAAGUACUAGACCUUUUUGGUUGAGAUGAAGGCCCUUCAUCAGGUUCUCUUCUUCUGUUAACUCUAGGUCUACCAGGAACUCUUCUCAAAGGAGGGGGCAAUACAACCUUAGGGAUAAUUUCAUGCAUAGGAGGCCACAUCUUUUCAUGAGGUAUAGGAUGAAUCAUAGAAGCAUAUGCCUUCAGGUAAAUGUCUUUGGAGAACCAAUGAUCACAGUAAUCUUCCAACUUUUCCCUUUUGUAGAUGAUGCCAAGUGCAACAUGUUUGCAAGGAAGUCCAACUAAUUGGAAGGCACCACCACAGUCACAGGUCCUUUGGUUUAAAUUGACUACGAACGAUCUGUCCAUAUCACCAACCUCAAAUGUAUUAUCACUUGCCAUAGUCAGGGUACAAUGCCUUGAUGCUUGAGCAAUUUUUUUGAGCUUUUCAGCAAAUUUUGGGGUGAUUCUGUUAGUUAAUGUGCAUCCCUUUUGGUAUCUCUUAUGCAUUUUCUUCAUGAACUUUCUUCUCAAACCUUCAACAAGGGUAAGUAUGGGUUUGCCUCUGAGGUCACCAACCCAUGAAUUAAAUGAUUCAGUGAAAUUAUUUGUGACAUGGUCACAUUUAAUUUCUUUUAGAAAUGCAUAUCUACACCAGGCUUUCUUGGGAAUUUUGUCCAAAUAUUUCCAAGCCUGUAUGUUGAUGUCUUUAAUGGUUGACAUUGCUUCAUUGUGGCUUUUGUGAUCAAAACUCUUUGCUGUCUUCCAAAAGAAACAAUUAAGCAGCAUGCCUGGAAAUUGCUGCUUGAAGUUGCUGCAAAUGUGCCUGCAACAAUAUCUGCCACUAGCAUUUGGAAAUAUCUCCUCAUAAGCAAGGUUGAGCCCAUAAAACAGCAUAAUUCAUGAGUCAAAAAAGCUAUUUCAGAUCCUUUAACAAGUCCAAGCAAAGAGUAGGUUGUUCUGAGCAGUACCUUUUGCCUAUUACUCAUAAAGGUUAAAGGUAAGUGGCUGUUGAAUGGUCCAAAAAACUCCUCAAAAAAGUGAAAGAACCAGCCCCAUGUUUCCUUGUUUUCACAUUCGGCUACAGCAAAUGCAAUUGGAAAUAUACUAUCAUUGCCAUCUAAGGCCACUGCUGUGAGCAAAACACCACCAAAGGGACCCUUCAAGUGACAGCCAUCAAAGCCAAUGAAUGGCCUGCAACCUUCAAGAAAACCAGUUUUCUAUGCUCUAAAACUAACAAAUAUUCUUAAAAAUCUGGGCUAUACAAGGAGAUUUGGCCUAUCAUAAUGUAUUUUGCAAAUGCUUUGUGGAUUAUAUUGUCUUAGAAGUACAGCAUACUUUGGUAAUUUGCUAUAAGAAUCAAUGAAAUUUCCUUGUGUGAAUUUCAGAGGAAGAGAAUAAAUUCCCCAUAUUUUUAUUCAUCAAUCGUAAGGGUAUAUAUACAGGUAUAGACAUCCUAUACUAGGAAGAUAUCCUAUUACAAUAAAUCAGUCCUCUAAUUCCUAUAAUUUAGGCUACAAACUAGCCUACAUUUGUUAGCUAUCUAAUCCCUACAAAUCAGCCUAUAUCAAUCUGUGACAGCUAUCUAAUCCCUACAAAUCAGCCUGCAUAUAAUCUGUAACAUCUAAUCCCUACAAAUCAUCCUGCAUAUAAUCUGUAACACUCCCCCUCAAGUUGGAGCAUAGAUAUUAAUCAUGCCCAGCUUGUUACAUAGAUAAUCAAUCCGGACCCCGUUAAGAGCUUUUGUGAAUAUAUCACCUAAUUGUUCUCCAGUCUUCACAUAACCUGUAGUGAUCAAACCUUGUUGGAUCUUUUCACGAACGAAAUGACAAUCAAUCUCAAUGUGUUUCGUUCGUUCAUGAAAGACUGGAUUGGAAGCAAUGUGAAGUGCAGCUUGAUUAUCACACCAUAGCUUGGCAGGUACUGAGACCUUAAUUCCUACUUCACUAAGGAGCUGAUAUACCCAUAUGACUUCACACACAGACUUGGCCAUACCUCUAUAUUCAGCUUCCGCACUGGAUCGUGAGACGACAUUCUGUUUCUUACUCUUCCAUGAGACCAAAUUUCCCCCAACAAAAACACAAUAUCCUGAAGUAGAUCUCCUAUCUUCCUUACACCCUGCCCAAUCUGAAUCUGAAAAACAUUCAAUCCUAGUAUGACCAUGAUUGCCAUAUAGGAUUCCACGUCCAGGAGCACAUUUUAAAUAGUGCAAAACUUGUUCGACUGCUUUCCAAUGGUCAACAGUUGGUGAGGACAUAUAUUGGCUUAACACACUCACUGAAUAAGCAAUAUCAGGACGUGUCACAGUGAGAUAAUUCAACUUUCCGAUUAGUCUUCUGUACCUCUCAGGAUCUGCACACAAUUCACCUUCUUUGGUUAAUUGUAAAUUAGGAACCAUUGGGGUACUACAUGGUUUAACACCCAACUUUCCCGACUCCGACAGUAAGUCAAGUACAUACUUUCUCUGUGAUAGAAAGAUUCCCUUCUUACUCCUGCUAACUUCAACUCCCAAGAAAUACUUUAACAUCCCCAAGUCUUUGGUAUAGAACUGAGUAUGAAGAAAGGACUAUAGAGACGAAAUUCCGCUAGAGUCGCUACCUGUGAUUACAAUAUCAUCCACAUAUACAACUAACAGAAUAAUACCUCCAUUAGAGUGUCUAUAGAAAAUAGAAUGAUCUGACUUGCUUUUCUGCAUCCCAAAUUUCUCAAUAGCUUGGCUAAAUUUUCCAAACCAAGCCCGAGAACUCUGUUUCAAGCCAUAUAGAGAUUUUUGCAGACGACAGACUUUCCCUUUCCCAUACCCCCCUUGAGCAACAAAACCAGGUGGUUGCUCCAUAUAUACCUCAUCCUGAAGAUCACCAUGAAGAAAGGCAUUCUUGAUGUCUAACUGAUGCAGAGGCCAGUCAUAAGCUGCAGCAAGGGAGAUAAACAACCUGACCGAAGCAAGUUUAGCAACAGGAGAAAAAGUAUCAUGAUAAUCCACCCCAUAAAUUUGAGCAUAUCCUUUAGCAACAAGUCGAGCUUUCAAUCGAGAAAUGGAGCCAUCAGAAUUCAUUUUGACAGUAAACACCCAUUUACAUCCAAUGGCUUGUUUACCUGCAGGUAAGGUAACCAAAGUCCAUGUACCAUUGACAUCUAGAGCAUUCAUUUCCUCAAUCAUAGCAGUCCGCCAUCCGGGAUGAGCUAAUGCCUCUCGAACAGUCUUAGGUACAGAAACAGUGUCUAGGGAUGUAAGAAAAGCACAAGAAGAGGAAGACAAAUGAUGGUAGGAAACAACUGAAGAGAUUGGAUAAGUACAUGCACGUUUACCUUUUCUGUGAGCAAUAGGGAGAUCAAGAUCAUCGUUGGCAGCCGGAUCUGAUGACAAAGAGACUGGUUCAUCAGGACAUGAUUCUGGAGACUCAAGGACCAAGUCAGAACUGGGCUGAUGUGCCCGACGUGAGUAGGUAUAUUUGAUGGGAGGCUUAACCGGUGUAGAAGGAGGCGGACCCGAAUUUGGUAUGACACUAUAGAUUAACAAAUCAUCAUCCUCCCCUGGACUCACAGAACUUGAAGAGCCUGAAGAUGAAGAUAAAGGUGUUUGUUCCAAAAAAGUAACAUCAGCAGACACAAGAUACUUACCAAGACUAGGACAAUAACAACGAUACCCUUUUUGCAUGCGAGAAUAACCCAGAAACAUACACUUUAAGGACUUAGGAUCAAGUUUUGUAACUUGAGGACGAACAUCCCGAACAAAACAAGUACAACCGAAUAUCUUUGGUUCUAUAAGAAACAACUGUUUAUUUGGAAAUAGAGUGUGGAAAGGAGUAUUACCAGACAAAACAGAGGAAGGCAUACGAUUGAUUAGAAAACAAGCAGUAGAUAGAGCAUCAGCCCAGAAACAUUUAGGAACCUUCAUUUGAAAUAACAAAGCUCGAGCAGUUUCAAGAAGGUGUCUAUUCUUUCUCUCGGCAACCCCAUUUUGAGAAGGGGUGUCAACACAAGAGGUCUGAUGAAGAAUACCCUGCUCAAGCAUGUAUUUCUGAAAACUGCUUGAAACAUAUUCUUUUGCAUUAUCACUUCGUAAAAUUUGUACAGGUUUACCAAAUUGGGUUCGAAUUUCAGCACAAAAGGAAGAAAAGUGAAAAAAUAGUUCUGAGCGACUUUGCAUCAAAUAAAGCCAUGUCAUUCUAGAAUAAUCAUCCACAAAGGUAACAAAAUAUCUGAAACCAGUUUUAGAGGUAACUGGACAAGAACCCCAAACAUCAGAAUGUACUAACUCGAAGGGAGCAGUAGCUCGCUUAUUGAUUCUAGGACUAGAACUAAGACGAUGAUGUUUAGCAAACUGACAAGACUCACAAUCUAAUGAAGUAAUGUUUGAAAACUGAGGACAAAGUUUCUUCAACAUAGAAAGCGAAGGAUGACCCAAUCGACAAUGUGCUUCAAAAGGAGAGAUUGUUCCAGCACAAGCUAUAGACCCUGGUUUCGGUGUAUCAAGAAUGUAGAGACCGUCAGACUCAUGUCCCUCACCAAUAAUCUUCUUCGUCAUGAGAUCCUGAAAUGAACAAUAACCAGGAAAAAAUGAGACACAACAAUUAAGAGCACGAGUAAGUUUGCUGACAGAAAUCAGAUUAAAAGAUAGUUGUGGUAGACUCAGAACAGAUGAUAAAUGGAGAGAUGAUGUGGGCUUAGUGGUUCCAGACCCAAUAACACUGGAUGUUGAACCAUCGGCUAAAGUAACAGGAGUGAUAGAUUUAUGUGGCUGAAAGUUAGAAAGUAAACUAGGAUUACCUGUCAUGUGAUCAGUAGCACCAGAAUCAAUGACCCAUGUUGGAGAAGAGGAAACAAGACAUGCAUUGGGUUUACCUGUCUCGACAGGAGCAGUAACAUGACCGGAUGACUGUUUCACUGUUUCUUGAAACUGAGUCAAUCUAGCAUACUCAUCCGCAUAUAUUGUAACAUGCUUGUCAGAGGUCGCACAACUAGAUGCAAUAUGGGCAGAGUGAGCCUUCUUAUACUGCAGCUUCCGACAGUCUCGCUUGAUAUGACCUGGUUUAUGACAGUAGAGACAUACAAUUUCUCCUUGCUCCUGUCCAUGAUUGCCAGUAUUCUUAUCAGAGUGGUUGGGCCCCGACCCCAUGCUCCUACUGUUGCCAUUACUCUUGUAGUGUUGUCUUCCUGAAUCAGCUGUGGUAGUUCGACUAAGAAGAACACUGUUAGGCUGAGUAGAUAGAACAGGUAACGUAUUCUCUGUACGGAGAACCCUUCGAAAAGCAUCUUCUAAACUGGAAAUUUCUGAACCGGAAAGAAUUUGAGAUUUAGCAGUCUUAAAUUCAGACGGAAGACCGGCUGGAAAACUCAUAACCGCCAUCUUCUCUCGCUGAUUUCGUUGUUCCUCCACAUCACAACUGAAGAGAAGCAGCAUAUUGAGCUCUUCAUAUGUUUUCUUGAAGUCCAUAAAAUAACUGGUGAGAGACUUGUCUCCUUUAUCUGCCCUGUAAAAAUCCUUGCAAACAUCAUAGAUACGAGAGAAAUUUCCUUUUCCAGAAUAUAAGAACUGUAAAUAGUUCAUUAAUUGUUUUACUAUCUUACAAUGAGUAACCAGACCAACCACCUCACUAUCAAUAGAAUUACGGAUCUGUAUAUACAAGCGAGCAUCCUCUCUCAUCCAAGACAAUUUAGAGUCAUCCGUAGGUAGAUCAUCAGUCAGAUGGCCAUCCAUAGAAAUACUGAGCAGAUAUAAUUCAAUAGUAUUGUUCCAAUCAAGAAAAUUAAUUCCAUUUAACUUAUGUUCCGUGAUUUUUGAAACCAGCGGAACUAUAUCAGAAACAACUCCAGGCUUUUUGUCAGACAUAAUUGCUAAGAAAAUUCAACAAGAUAACAGAUUACCCACAAGAAAAACCUGUUGUAGCCAAGUCCCACACCUAGAUCGAUGUUGACCCACAAACAGGUAUGCAAAUAGCGUCGAGAGACAGAAGAGAGGUGCUGGGUUCUGACCAAUUGGUACUACGUACCUCCCUGAGUUGGCGGUGUCUAUAAAGGAACCUCUAAAGCCUGUACCUUGAAUAUGGCAGCAGCUUCCCUCACACCCAACAACCCAGGAAAAAAAUUUAUGAACAAACCUUGCUCUGAUACCAUGUGAAUUUCAGAGGAAGAGAAUAAAUUCCCCAUAUUUUUAUUCAUCAAUCGUGAGGGUAUAUAUACAGGUAUAGACAUCCUAUACUAGGAAGAUAUCCUAUUACAAUAAAUCAGUCCUCUAAUUCCUAUAAUUUAGGCUACAAACUAGCUUACAUUUGUUAGCUAUCUAAUCCCUACAAAUCAGCCUAUAUCAAUCUGUGACAGCUAUCUAAUCCCUACAAAUCAGCCUGCAUAUAAUCUGUAACAUCUAAUCCCUACAAAUCAUCCUGCAUAUAAUCUGUAACACCUUGAAUCUCCUCUUCUGCUUUCUUUUUUGGUCUAAAAAGCUGCAUGUAACUCGGUUUAAGACCAUACUUUGUUAUCAUCUCUGCUUCUAUGCCCUGGCUAGAUAUGUUAGGAUGAACUCUCAUCAAAGGCACCAACUUCUUUGCAAUCCAAUCUGAUGUGGCUUCUACAUUACUUUUAUCCAUCACACAAGUAUGUUCAGGUUGGUAAGAUUUAAUCAUAAAGGUGACAGAAUCGGCCACCGGACUUGCAUGAAUUCUCCAUUUGCAGCCAUCUAUACCACAAAUAGCUGUCACUCUAGUUUUCUCAUUCUUCAGUCUUACUAUUGGAAAUCCCUUUUGAAUGACAUAAUCCUUCAAAACUGCUCUAAAGGAGUCCACAUUGGUGAAUAAUUGGCCCUUCUCAAACUCAAUGUCCUCUCUUGGGUUGUACACCCACAUUUUUUAUCUCAUCACUUCUCUCAUAGGAUCAAGUUCCUGAUUAGAUUCGGAAUCAGGAACCACAUCACAAUUCUCAUUUUCUUCAAAAUCAGAAAAAUUAGUGUCACUAAAGUAACUACUCUCCACUGAAACUCUAUCAUCAUCUAUAUCACCUUCAUUAUCACUAUCAAGCAUAUGUUCCCAUGACUCACCAGAGCUAGAGUCCUCAAAUUCAUCAUCAGAAUUUUCAAGGUCAACAACCACCCUUUCAUAAGUUUGUUCAAUGCCUAAAUUCUCUUGGGUGUUCUGAACAUUGUUAUGGUUUAAAGGUCCAUCAGGCUUACUUGGAAUAAUUUCCAUAUCAUACACAUGCAAAAUGAUUACAAUUCCAGAUUGAUGCCUUUUAAACAUCUCAACUACUGCAUUGUCAUCAUUAGCAUCACGCAUUUCACAUGUUCCAGGAAUUUCAUGCCUCAUAUGUAUCAUCAUAUUCGCAUUUCCAGGCAUUUCACUCAAUGCUUUUUCAGCGACAUCAUAUAGUAAGUUAAUGUACAAGUUGCCAUUAGGAUCAACAUUCGGAAUCUUCACUUUCCUUCCCUUGUAAUGCACAACCAUGUCAUAAGAACCAUUAUUCACCAUCCUACAUUAUUAAAAUUAAUAGAUCAGCACUAACAACCAUUAACAUGAUUCUGUGAUGAUGAAACACUUUUACUCAAUAAAUGAAUAACAGGGCACAACUCAAAGAUCUAAAACUAUAUUUGGCAGAAUAGACAAUUUAUCUAACUUAUUGCAGAUUAUCAAGCAUUUUAUCAAUCAUUUAACAACCAUGGUCAACAUAACAGAUGAUGAACGUAACAGGUCACUACAUGUACCAGUGAUCACAACUUGUCUAACUACAUCAUCUAUUCAGCUUAUCAAGCAUUGAACAACUAUGAUCAACAUAACAAAUGAUGAUUUUUGUCAUGCUUUUGACUUUAACAUCUAACUAAGUUCAUGGUUUUGACAUACUCCCUCUUUUUUCUUUCAAAUUUACAUGAUGAACUCUAAAAAUUUAUAUGUUCUGGAAGUAAUAGGUCACAUUCGAUCAUAUUACAUUAACAGAUAACAGAGCUUGCAUACCUUUUUUGUUGUUAUUUUUGUGAUUUACAACAUUCAAAAUCUUAGAAUUUGCCUUCCAUACUCCCUCCUUUCUACUUCAAAAUCAUGAAAUUAGAGCACUAUCAUAACUGCCUCACCAGUUGAACGAAAAUUGCAAGUUUGUUUAGCUUCUAUCUUCACUGCAUUUCUUCUUAUUUUUUUUUCUUCUGCCCGAUCCCUUCUUCACAAUAUGUAAAAACUGAUUUGUUGUCUUGUCCCUAAUGUCAUCAGCAAAAUGGUGCCAUAUUGGUGAACGAAAUUGGCGCCAGUUGCUUAUGCAUUUUUUAUUAGCAAGAUUCCAACUGUUAAGUUGGUUAAUGAAAUUGAAAGUUCUAAUUUGACCCUAAUGACUUAUUUACCAUAUUUUAGUCCUAUAAUAACACAAAAUGUCUUGGGUAUAAUAGUAAUUUCGCAUUAUAUGAUGUCAGCAAUUGGGUCCCAAGUUCUGCUAGGGGAGGUCAGUGUAAUUGUGGAAACCUCAGGGGAGGUCAGUGAAAUUGUCAGAAACCUCAGGGAAGGUUUCUGAAAUUAUCCCUUUCUUUUUCCAAGGUACUAGAGAUUUUCAAUUUGAAUGUACAAAAAUGUCAGUUAAGCCUAACUUUAUAUUUUUUUAGUGGAAAUUAAGCUUAUCAUAUUAAAUCACCAUUAACAAUAUACAAAAUUUCCUUAAAAGCAACAGAAUUUUUUCAAAGAAUUUUUUUUGGUCUACCUGUUCACCAAUACAAUAUUUCCUUAAAAAGUUUUGUUGUAACUCCUUUUUGUAGUUUUUCUUUCUCUCUCCUUUGCUUUUUUUUUUGUUGAGAUAUGAAUCCAGUCAUUUUCUUUCCAAAGUAUUUUUUUUCUAGGAAUUCAAGGAAAAUUUGCGUUAAAAUUUUUUGCGAUAAAAUUUUUUUUAUUAUUCUUCUUUACUUUCCAAAAAAUCUUCCAGUCAUUAGAUUGCUCCACGGAUCCAUUUGAUCUUAGUUAAACACAAAGUCAUAUGUAUGACUAGGGGAGAAGUGCCCGCGUAUCGCGCGAGUGUUUGGUGCCUGUGGUUAAAGACGAUUUUUUGGUUGGACAAAUAAUAAUACAUUGCAAGAAUAGUACGUUGCGAUAAAUAAUUAGAAGCAGGUACAAUUAUAAGACAAACAACAUAAGAGUCUUCCAAUAUUAGAAUCAGGAAAUUCCCGAACACAAAAAUUAGAUGCAGCAAGCUCCCAAAGAUGUACGGGCAAAUAUUUAUAAAAUUGUUUCAGGUAAAAACUACGAGAUAGAUAGCAGAGUAGAUUAAAUAAGACAUCAUGUAUGUCUAUUUAUUUAGUGAUACGAAUAGUAGUAAACUCACGUAGAUGCUGUAAUAGACAGCAAUCAGAUGCGUUGCUUCUUGGUGGUUUCUUCAUUUUGGUCCCAACUUCAGCAUCUACAUGAUGAGUGUAGAACAUACAUGAUCGAAGGUCCUCCACAACUUCCUGCUUCAACUACUCUAACUGCUGAAGUUGAAAGCGGAGGCAAUGCAGGGAUGUUGGUGCCUUUUCUUGUCAGAGCAGCUACUCUUGGUGCUUUUGGCUUAAGGAAGCAAGUAAGUUGAAGGAGUUCUGUGGUGAAGGACUAUGCGCUGCUAAUGUCCAUAUUUGGUCGGUCUUCAAAUGAGCGAGUCAUUAACUUACCAAUAGAAUGUGAUUAAAAACAAGCUAUAGCAGAAUGAAAAAAUCAUGGAACCAAAAUGAAGCAAAGGCCAAGUGAAAGUCUCAUCAAAUCCCAAAUUAAGUUAAUGACCCUCGUAAAUAUUGUUGGUCGGGCCCUCCGCAAAUUCCUGCUUCAGUGGGCGGUCAUUGUUUCCAUGCCUAGGAUUUAUGCAAUAUAAGAGCAUAAAAAAAUAUCCCAAUCCCAGAAUAUGAAAAGGUUGAAUCUGAAGAAGGUGAAGAGGGGGCAUGGAAACAAUCAGAAGGUGAAGAGGAGGCAUGGAAACAAUCAUAACCGACGCAGCCAUUGGGCAUUAACUUACCAACAUCUGACUAUUUAAUUGAGGCUAUAAUGAGAAAGAAAAGGAGUGUUUCGGCCAUAAGCUCGGGGUGAGAGAGGAAACGAUGCGGCAUUCUGUUUGAGACAAAGGUUGCAAGAGAAAAUCCAAUCUCCGAAUCUCAGGAGCCAUUAGUAGGGCCAUGUUUUUUGCCAUUAAAUUCAGAUAUAAAUGAUAGAGAAGGAGAUCUAAAAGGAGGUGCUUCCACACCUGAGCUCUAACUACGGUGACGAUUGAGCAAGAUUGGCCUUUCUUAUUCCCUUUCACUUGUGGGCUCCCUGUACAAGUGAUUUCCAAGUUUAAUGAUUAUUAGUCAAACGACGUACUUAUGAUGUGUGAAUGCCAUUUCAGUAAUAACCGUGUGAUUCAAUUGCUGUAUUUAUGGUCAUGACUUUUUCUUUUUGUAAUGACUGCACUUAUGAUAUGUGAAUACCAUUUAAGUAAUUUCACAAACCCACAGACUUAUGUAUGUUGUACCAAAAGUAAUAAAUGGUUGCAGAUUAAUUGCACAUAUCAUAAAUACCCAUAUGUUUCAACAACAUGAAGUUUUAAAUGUCUAUAAAUAAGGGUAUUUCGGUUAAUAUACAUAAUCACAAGUUUCCCUCACUUGUACCUAUAGCUUGUAAAACACUCCAGAAUAUUUCACAUUCCCUAUCAUAAAUACUCAUAUGUUUCAACAACAUAAAGUUUUAAAUGUCUAUAAAUAAGGGUAUUUCGGUUAAUAUACAUAAUCACAAGUUUCGCUCACUUGUACCUAUAGCUUGUAAAACACUAUAGAAUAUUUCAUAUUCCCAAAAAGUCCCUGCCUAUGCGGUUGAAAUGCAACCCUCUCUUUCACCAAAACUCAAUCUUAUCAUUAGUCAAACGGCACACUUAUGAUGUGUGAAGGCCAUUUCAGUAAUAACCAUGUGAUUCAAUUGCCGUAUUUAUGGUCAUGACUUUUUCUAUUUGUAAUGACUGCACUUAUGAUGUGUGAAUGCCAUUUAAGUAAUUUCACAAACCCACAGGCUUAUGUAUGUUGUACCAAAAGCAAUAAAUGGUUGCAGAUUAAUUGCACAUACGAUAAAUACCCAUAUGUUUCAACAACAUAAAGUUUUAAAUGUCUAUAAAUAAGGGUAUUUCGGUUAAUAUACCUAACCACAAGCUUCCCUCACUUAUACCUAUUGCUUGUAAAAUACUACAGAAUAUUUCACAUUCCUAAAAAGUCCCUGCCUAUGCGGUUGAAAUGCAACCCCCUCUUUCACCAAAACUCAAUCUUAUAUAGUAUAAGGAAUUCAAUCGGUUGAAGUCAUUGUGGAGUAGUAGCUUGCAAUUGACUUUUAGAUCUUCCAUUUCCUCAGGGAGACCCCGAGGUUGGCUCGGCUGGUGCUGGGGUUGCCUAGUAAGAUUCUGGCACCGUGUGGUCGAGUUCGACUCCUGUUAAUCUCUUGUGUAUUCUGAAGGGGGCGGGGUACACAAGCGUAGAGGAUUAGUCGGGUCGAAGGCCGGACUCCCUUGUGUAGACAAAAAAAAAAAAAAUUUCUCACGGAUCCUACAGGUAGGAAAUCAAAUGUGCAAGUUGGUGGCCUUGACCAUAACACCAUUAGAAUAAUAUUACAGCUUUACUUGUCCGAAAAGGAAUAAAAACACGGUUGAUUUCUUUACCAACUCCUUUCCUAUCACCUAAUAAAUCAUGGUUCGGUGAAUUUUUAUGAGCUGCUUGAUUAGUCAAGUAGUACAAGAAUAGGUCCUAAAGUGAAUUAUAUGAACUCUGCUUGUUCAAUCGUAAACCUUCUCCUUGCACUUGUACAUAUCCACCCAGCCCCAGCGUGUAAUUCAGCAAUCGUCAUAAGGAACUUUUCAGUCUUAUAUAUCUUAAGAGUUAAAUGGUGGUGUUAUGAAACAAUUAAAAGUAUGGAUGUCCCUUUGUAUUCCCAAGAGGAUUAAUUCUUGAUUUUAUGACUACAUUAUGUAUAGAAGUUACAAUCCAUAAAUCUAUUCAUGUAGUGGAGAAACCGUUUCAUAAGUUUUUUCAUAUUCUUGUAGUAGUGGGUGUUUAAUAGAAUUGAUGUAUCUUUAAUCUUGUAAUACCUAUAUAUAGAGGUACAUUGACAUCCUUUGUGAGGACUUUUAUAUUAGUUGGAAUAAUAAGAUAAUCACUCUCUAUUUCUCUACUUUUUUCUCUAAUAUUUCCAUUCAUACUAUAAUAGUUUAUUAGUUUUAUAACAUGUUAUCAGCACGAGUCUCUACUUUUGAGCAAAAGGUGAAAACGGAGGUUCUACUUUGAACAAAAGUGAAACACUAGAUUUUGCCAAAAUUCUGCCUGCAUUUCUUCAAGUAAAUUCUGAGGUAAAUUUCUAACUCACAAACUUAUUUCAAUUUCUUAUGGCUAACAUUUGAAUUAUCGCAAAAAAUACAAGUGCCUAUUGCUGAACAAUCACUAAACACAAACAUAUACUGUUUGAUACAUUUGAGGUAAUAUUUCUUCUUUUAAUUCUAUUUAUUUACAUUUAGAAUUAUUCGUUAUAGAUACUUUUAUUCUGAUGCAUUGAAUUUUGGUGAUGCUAUUAUAGAAAAUCAAUUAUAUUUAAGGAUCUACUUGUCCUUUGAAAUAUUUAAAGAAAAAGAUUCGACCACCUGAAGAUGGUUGUUCUUUAACGAAAAUAUUUGGCCACUAGAAGAUGGUCAUUAUUUCAAAAGCCUAGUAUGAUAAAUUUACCUAUGGCUACAAGAACAUAAUUCUGCAAUUUUCAGAAUUACUUCUCAGUUGAAAUUGUGUCGAGAAAAUUUUACUCAUAAGAUAUAUUGAAAAUGAUAUUCUCCACAAUUGAUUUCUCUAAUAUGCUCCUGUAGUAGCAAUAUUAAGAGAAAUUUUGAGAAGUAUUUUGUACUUAUUGCAUGCUAAUUCUAGUCCAUUCCCAGAAGUGAAUGCGACUAAAUUUCAAUUUAUUAGCUAUGGUUGAUGCCAUGACAAUGGUUUUGGUAAAUAUAUAUUUUACCAUAACAAAAGAAAAAAUUACCACUUGAAGUGGAAUAAUAUUGAUGAGGACAAGAAAAUAAGAAUUCUGAAGAUAAAUGUCCCGCAGUACAUUUAACGAAUCAAAAUUAUAAUAUCAUCUUCACAUGACCAAUUUCUUUAAACACCCUGAAGGUAUAUGAUGAUUGAUUUAAUUAACUUUUCUUCCUGAAGAAAAAAUAGAUGUUAAAUAUUUGAGAUCAAAGGAUUAUAGUGAUGAUAUUUGUCCCAUAAGAAUUAUGGUGACAAUGAUAUGUGUCUCAUUAAUAAGUGCCACUAUAUACGCUAUAGUUUAAGUGAUUGAAAGUUCCGGAAGAGCGACUGCUAUAUUUCUCCUUGUAGGAAAAAAGUUCAUCAUAAAUAAAGCACUACUUUUUACCAUGUCUCAAAAGAAUUAUUGAAUUUGAAUAACCGUAGAAAUGGAUAUCAAAUUGAGACAUUAAAUGAGACAAUAAUAAAGAUCAUAUUUAAAAUCAAGUGAGAUAAAGGUUAAUUAUAUCAUAAUAAUCAUUCGAGAGAGAAAUGAUUAUCGAUAUAGUUGUCUUCAUUCUCAUUUGAUUUAUAAUUAUCACAUGCAGUAAACCAGAAGUUUACUGAUCCCAAUGGAUAUAUGAUUUGACAAAAGUGAGAAUAUUUGAGAGCCGACAAGUAUUUAUACAUACCCCCUUUAUAUUAUAUAUGGCUCCAAAAGAAAUUUAGAAUUUAUGUCGGGUAUGAAUCACUUUUUACGAUUAAAUAUCGUAAAAUAUUUGAUGAGUGAUCUAUUAAAUGAUUUAUUUAUUCUGAUGAAUUAUAAUUCCCGACAUUAGGGGGAGGAAGAAAUCAACCGAAAGGAAAUCACCUGAAAAAUUGGAUUUCCUCGAUCCUCAUACAAAAUAACGUGAACUGGAAGUUCAAGAAAUUAUUCACUUGCAGAAAAUUGCAAACCAAUUGUCAGAUAUAUUACCGACUCCAGAAGAGUUAUUAAAUCAACUGUUCCUGCAGGAAAUACCUUGAUUAAAAUUGAUGUCCCUAAAGGACAUGCACAAGUGCUACAAAUAAAUUUAAGGCCGGCCUACCUAAAUAAGGUAUAAAUAGAUUUCAAAUAUCUCCGGAGAUUAAAUGUCAUGACAAAAUUCAACCUCUUGAAGAGGUUGCUCCUGAAGAGCCAACUUAUGAAGAGAAUGAAAUCAUAAAAAAAAAAUUUAAUUGGAGCCUAAUAAAAUGUAGCACUUGAUAUUAUAAAAGUUGAUGAGAAUCAUGAAUCUAGAUCGGUUGAUGAAUGUCGGUAUAAAAAUAAUUGUUUAAAGUGGAAAGAUGCGAUCCAAUCUGAAUUGGAUUUAUUGGUUAAAAGAAAAGUUUUUGGACUUGUAGUCCAAACACUUAAAGGUGUAAAGCUAAUAGCUUAAAGAUUUUCACAAAGGCCUGAAUUUGAUUAUGAUGAAACGUAUUCACCUGUAGUGGAUGCUAUCACAUUUAGAUAUCUUGUAAGUUUUGCAGUACAUGAAAAACUAGAGAUGCGUUUAAUGGACGUUGUUACUGUAUAUUUAUAUGGGAAUCUUGAAAAUAAUAUUUAUAUGAGAGUCUCCGAAGGAUUCAACAUGCCUGAAGCAUGCAAAUCAAAUCCUAAAAAUAUUUAUUCUAUUAAAUUACAAAGGUCUCUGUAUGGGUUCAAACAAUUUGGACGUAUGUGGUAUAACCGUCUCAAUGAAUGUCUGACAAAAGAAGGUUAUACCAAUGAUCCAAUAUGUCCAUGUGUUUUUAUUAAGAAAAAUGAAUCAAAUUUUGUGAUAAUUGCUGUAUAUGUUGAUGAUCUAAAUUUGAUUGGAACUCCUGAAGAGAUUCAAAAUAAUGUUGAAUAUUUGAAGAAGGAUUUUGAGGUCAAGAAUUUUGAAAAAACAAAAUUCUACCUUGAUUUAUAAAUUGAGCAUUUGAAAAGUGAAAUUUUUAUCCACCAAACUGCAUAUAUCCGGAAAGUAUUAAAGCGAUUUUAUAUGGAUAAUACACAUAUAUUAAGUAUUCCAAUGGUCGUCAGAUCAUUAGAUCCUAAAAAGGAUCCUUUUAGGAUCGCAAGAGGAAGAUGAAAAGAUACUUGGUUCUGAAGUACCAUAUUUCAGUGCAAUUGGCGAAGAAUAUUGGAAUGCGAUAAUUAAAAGAUCUCAAAUAAUGUUUGCAUCAGGGGGAGAAAUUAAUACACAAGAAUAGUGUACUCUUUUUCCUUCACUAGGGUUUUUGUCCCGAUGGGUUUAUCCCUGGUAAGGUUUUAACGAGGCAUAUUCUUUGUGUAAUGGACAUCCAAGGGGGAGUGUUAUGAAACAAUUAAAAGUAUGGAUGUCCCUUUGUAUUCCCAAGAGGAUUAAUUCUUGAUUUUAUGACUACAUUAUGUAUAGAAAUUACAAUCCAUAAAUCUAUUCAUGUAGUGGAGAAACCGUUUCAUAGGUUUUUUCAUAUUCUUGUAAUAAUGGGUGUUUAAUAGAAUUGAUGUAUCUUUAAUCUUGUAGUACCUAUAUAUAGAGGUACAUUGACAUCCUUUGUGAGGACUUUUGUAUUAGUUGGAAUAAUAAGAUAAUCACUCUCUAUUUCUCUACUUUUUUUUUCUAAUAUUUCCAUUCAUACUAUAAUAGUUUAUUAGUUUUAUAACAGGUGGAGUAUUUUCAUCUUAGCUGAAUCUUCAAAGCACGUAUCCUCCUCCUACAUAUACUUAGCUACCAUAUCCAGAAUUUUUGGAGUCUAUUUGAUGAGUCAUAUGAGAGACUACUGUUAAUUUGUUUAAAGAUUGAGGCGCCAAUUUCAGUGAUGCAUAGUAAUAAAAAAAAAAAGCAUCAUUUUUUGAAAUGAAAUAUGGUGUCACAUCCGGUGUGCAAAAUUGGAGUUCAUUCUUAAUGUGACGGGAACUGUAGCUUUAAUUACUUUGUAAAUAAAAUAUAUAAAUAGGCUGUUAUCUGAUAGUGGAUGGAUAAUUAUAAAUAGAUAUGAUCGUGGUGGAUAGGAGAGACACGGGUAAAUAUGAUAGUAGGUAGAAGAGACAAAAAAUAAAUAUGAUAGAUGAAUAAUCAUAUUUAAAGAGUAAUUUAUGAAGAUCAUAAGAUGACGAUUUUUUUUUUACACCAAAAACCUCCCCACCCCCUUUCUAUAUGGUAUAAAUAGAGAUAAGCAUAAAUUGACGACGGCCAAAGUAUUUCAUAAAGCUGGUCCCCAAAUUGGGCUGACUCCUUCAUUGCACAACUCUGAUUAGUUUCCAGAUUGGUUUUGAUAAUCAGCUUAAACCGAGACCUACCCACUGUAAUUCUCUACUUUACCCAACGAGCUGCAUUGGGAAUGGGCUCAUGUAACCAACUCCCAGUUUUCAGAGCCCAAUGAACCUGAGCUUUCUUUACCAUGGCCUUCUCCCCUAGCAAGUCGCUUGACAAAAUAAAUUUGUUGCACAAAAUUACUUGUUUAAGCCUUUCAUUUGUGUUAUUUUCUUUGAACUCCUCCACCCCCCCCCCCCCCCAUACCCACUGUUGUGGUCUUUUCUUUGAGCUUCUAGACUAAAGUACGAAUUUAUUUCUUUACCUACGUCAUAUCAUAGAUCAAUUUAUUUUUCUUCCAUUCCUAAGCAAACUGAGUAUGAAUUCAAUCAAAUUGAAAUCACCGUGGAGACUAGCUUGCGAUUGACUAUUACAUCUUCAAUUGCUUCACGGAUCCUACAGGUAGGAAAUCAAAUGUCCAAGUUCGUGGCCUUGACCAUAACACCAUUAGAAUACUAUUACAGCUUUACUUGUCUCAAAAAGUAAAAAAAAAAAACACGGUUGAUUUCUUUAUCUUUGUAAUCAGAAGAGACAUAUGUAAUGACGUAAUCCAUAGAAAAUGAGAGAAAUGGCAAACUAUGUAAUAUGUAACUAACUCAGCCAAGUUGAGUUGAGUUAGCCGCCACGAAAGAAGUUAAAUCUUACAUUGAGUGUGGUCAAGAGAUAAAAUUUCCUGACUUGCAUUUUUCUUACGGUUUUUUAAAAGUUUCAUAUUCAAAUGCAUUCGUUUGAUCUAGUGGCAAUUCAAUCUCUUUACGGUUCUUCAUUGACCACUUUAUAUUCGUUCGUUUCCUGUAUAUAAAAUAGAAAUUAUCAUAUCGAUAAUAAAAAAAAAAUAUGUAACACGUCAGAAUUGUGACAAUUGAUGGAUUGCAAUCAGCCACAAUGUCACGGACUCGGGACAGGUGCAACCGUCCCGGACAGUUUUGAUCAUUUUUAACUGCGCGUAACUUUCUUUGUACAUCGUGUAACUUUUUUUGCACAUCGCAUAACUUUAGAGCAAAUUUUUAUGAGACCCACACAUGGCGUGGAAAUCGAGUUACAACUUGUAAUCUCAGCUGCACAAAUUUUGAGGCCAGAUCAUGACCGUCCCUACCCAUUUCCCAAUGUCACCGCUUUCCGUUCUGAUGGCUAGAGUUGAAAAAUCUACAAGCUUUUCUGCAAUUUAUUCACAUAUACUCAUUAUAAGGCCAGCUCGCAAGAAUUAUCAUUUUUCCUCUAUGACAACAGUAUACAAAAAUUUGAAAAAAAUGGGAAAAAAUUUUACGGCAAGUUUUUGGACAUUUUUCAAGAUAUGAUCACAGUGGAAUGUGGCACAACAAUAUAUCACACAAGUGGCCUGGUCUUGGAAUUGAGUGACAACAAUCCUACUUAACAAAUUUGUGAAUUGAAUCGAAGUGGUGUGAAUUCUACUAUAAUAAGUAGCGGUUCAAAUUGUACAGCAUCAAACUUCAAGAAUUUCUUUUUAUUAAAAGAUAGUUCAGCUCCUGGAUUCUAGAGAUUCCUUUAUUCGUGUCUAUCUGCUUAAAAAUGUUGGUUUUGUUUGGAUCCUUCAGCUAUUUAAAUACUAUAAAAAUUUUUAAAUAGUAUUCUAAAAGAUAUUUUAAAAAGUAGUUUAAAUUUUUUUAAUAUUCAAAAAAUAUCCUAAAAUAUAUUUUAAAAACUCUACUAUUCUUAAAUAUUUCAAAAUAUUUUGUACAAUUAUUCUAAAAUAAAAUCUAAAAACUCUACUAUAGUAAUACCCUAAAAAACAAUUAAUUCAAACGGACCAGCUGUAAUUUCCAGGCAGCUUCUUGUAGGUAGGUGAACUCUGUACGUAAUACAACUUUUCAUUCACAACCGUCAAAUUAUUACGCUUUACGCUGUUAUCCAAUACUACUGCUACACAUAAAUACGUGCUCUGAGGCCUAUUCUUAGAUCACAGAAAGAAGAGCAAGAAUACCAUUAAACAAACUGAGAAAGAUGAUGAGCAUUCAUUGGCUAUGGACAGCUCUAGCCUUGGCUGCAAUCUGGUUUUUUCUUCAAGACUUGUUCUUGAUGAAGAAGAGAAAGAGAUUUCCUCCAGGUCCAAAAGGGCUUCCUAUUAUAGGAAAUCUGCAUCUGUUAGGCAAGAAUCCUCACCAAGAUUUGGAAAAACUAGCCAAAAAGCACGGCCCUAUAAUGCACAUGCGAUUCGGUUAUGUCCCAGCAAUCAUUGUCUCAUCCCCUGAAGCAGCUGAAAAGUUUCUCAAGACUUACGAUCAAGUUUUUGCUAGUAGGCCUUAUCAUGAAUCUUCUUGGUACGUUAGUUAUGAGCAGAGGAACUUGACGUUCGGCCAAUAUGGACCGUAUUGGCGAAACAUGCGUAAGCUUUGCAUUCUGCAGCUGCUCAGUAGCCACAAAAUCAACUCAUUUCUGCCGAUGAGAAGAGAAGAGGUUGGAACAUUGGUUAAAUCACUCAAACAGGCUGCCUCAGAUGGUGCUGCUGUUGACCUUAGUGCAUCAAUUUCUUCCUUGGGUGCAAAUAUGAGUUGCUUGAUGAUAUUUGGGAAGAAAUAUAUGGACAAGGAUUUCGAUGAUAGGGGGUUUAGAGAUGUUAUUCAAGAAGGACUUCAUGUUGCGGCCAUGCCAAACCUCGGUGACUACUUUCCUCUACUCGGUGUGCUUGACCUUCAGGGACUUACUCGCCGGUUUAAAGAUCUUGCCAAGGUGUUUGACAAAUUUUUUGAGAAAAUCAUUGAUGAGCAUCUACAGUCUCAGGAGCACAAGCAAACCAAGGACUUUGUAGACAUCAUGAUGGGAAUUAUGCAAUCUGGAGAAGCUGAGUUUGAGUUCGACCGUCGUCAUGUCAAAGCCAUCUUGUUGGUAUGUUUUAGACCUUUCUGGUUUGCUGGUUUGUUGUUCAUAUACGUAGCUGACAGCACCAGAUUUUUGUAUUGCUUGCUGAAUAUGUUUUUAGCUUUUUCAACAAAAUUUUCGGUCAGUUAUAACUUCUGGACUAACGAAAUUCAAAUAACUAAACUUUGCACCUUAAAACGUGAUCUGGAAUUCUGUGCUCUUACUUUCUUCAAAAUAAUACCAGCGUUCUUUUCUGAGGUUCUCCUUUGUUUGUCUGUUGAGAAAGGGAUUGUUUCAUAGCUAAAUCAAAUAAUUGCAAUCCUUGCAACAAAUGAAGACAAAUUUGACGCCUAUUUUGACCUUGACAUUGUGCCUAACUCUGCCAAUUCCUUACCUCAACUACACAGGAUUUGCUUGUAGCCUCAAUGGACACCUCAGUCACGGCAGUUGAGUGGGCGAUCUCAGAACUCCUCAGGCAUCCUGAGGCAAUGAGGAAACUCCAGAAAGAAUUGGAAGAAAAAGUCGGAUUGGAGAGGAUUGUAGAGGAAUCAGACAUUGAAGGCCUAGAAUAUUUGGACAUGGUUAUCAAAGAAUCCAUGAGGCUCCAUCCUGUGGCCCCACUGUUGCUCCCCCACGAGUCAAUGGAAGAUUGCACAGUUGAUGACUUCCACAUUCAGAAGAAGUCGCGGAUCAUCAUAAACAUAUACACAAUCGGACGCGAUCCAAAUGUCUGGCCUGAUCCUGAGACCUUCAACCCUGAAAGAUUCAAGGAUAGCAAUAUAGACCUUCGGGGCCAAGAUUUUCGGCUCAUACCAUUUGGCUCAGGCAGAAGAAGUUGCCCUGGUUUGCAGUUGGGGCUCCUCCUUGUUCGUUUUGUGCUGGCACAGUUGGUGCAUUGCUUCAAUUGGGAACUUGCAGAUAACAUUCGGCCAACUGAUUUGGAUAUGUCUGAGGCUUUUGGUAUUGUAACUUCCAGAGCUACGCAUUUAAGGGUUAUUCCUACCUACCGAUUAGCCAAAUGAAUAAAGAUUGUGGACUCCAAUCCCAAUUCUGGAAGUGUAAAAGUAAUGUUCCUUGAAGAUUGUGUUGACUCUAGUGUCUUCUUGCACGUACUGCUUGUUGCUCUUUCCAUUCGUUUUUUUUUUCCAAACGAUAAAACUUUCAUUACUAUACCAUCGCGUUAGUUGACAAACACCUAAACAAACGGGCCUAAAUCUGUCGUUAGUUGACAAAACUUUGCACCUUAAAACAUGAUCUGGAAUUCUGUGUUCUUACUUUCUACAUAACGAUACCAGCGUUCUUUUCUGAGGUUCUCCUUUGUUUAUAUGUUGAAAAAGGGAUUGUUUCAUAGCUAAAUCAAAUAAUUGCAAUCCUUGCAACAAAUGAAGACAAAUUUGACGCCUAUUUUGAUCUUGACAUUAUGCCUAACUCUGCCAAUUCCGUACCUCAACUACACAGGAUUUGCUUGUAGCCUCAAUGGAUACCUCAGUCACGGCAGUUGAAUGGGCGAUCUCAGAACUCCUCAGGCAUCCUGAGGCAAUGAGAAAACUCCAGAAAGAAUUGGAAGAAAAGUCGGAUUGGAGAGGAUUGUAGAGGAAUCAGACGUUGAAGGCCUAGAAUAUUUGGACAUGGUUAUCAAAGAAUCCUUGAGGCUUCAUCCUGUGGCCCCACUGUUGCUCCCCCACGAGUCAAUGGAAGAUUGCACAGUUGAUGACUUCCACAUUCAGAAAAAAGCGCGAAUCAUCAUAAACGUGUAUGCAAUCGGCCGCGACCCAAGUGUCUGGCGUGAUCCUGAGAUCUUCGUCCCUGAAAGAUUCAGGGAUAGUAACAUCGACCUUCGAGGACAAGAUUUCCGACUUAUACCAUUUGGCUCAGGCAGAAGAAUUUGCCCAGGUUUGCAGUUGGGGCUCACCGUUGUGCGUUUUGUGCUAGCACAGUUGGUGCAUUGUUUCAAUUGGGAACUUGCAGAUAACAUUCAGCCAACUGAUUUGGAUAUGUCUGAGGCUUUUGGUAUUGUAACUUCAAGGGCUAAACAUUUAAAGGUGGUGCCUGCUUACCGAUUGAACAAAUGAAUAAAGACGGUGGACUCCAAUUCCAAUGCUGGAAGUGUACUGGUCUGUUCCUUGAAGAUUGUGUUGACUCUAGUGUCUUCUUGCACGUACUGCUUGUUGCUCUUUCCAUUCGUUGAUGAUAAAAAUAUUUGCCAAUUAGUUUUCUUUUUUAUCUACCUGUUUCCAUCUCGAUCUGAAGAAGCAGCUUCUUCCUUGAGCAAUAGACAUAGUACAGAAGUUUCCGAACUUGAUGUUGCAUUUGUCAAUUGUUUCAUUUUCCUUGCUACUUUUAUAAUGAAUACAUUGUUUAGUGGAUUUUUUUUUAUUUUUUACUUUUGUAGUUAAGUAGAUUUUUUUCUUUAUUAAUUGUAUUAUUUAUCGAGUGACAUUAUGGAAAGGUAUUCAUUUGUUUGAUUUUAAUCAACAAUGUUCCCACAUAUUAACUAGGAUAAGAUCAAGAGAAAUUUAGCUAAGCACUUCUAAUGUUUUUGAUAGGUAUGACUGACUGUCUAAUGAUCCAUUCGGGUUCACAAAUUAAAUUCUGUCUAAUUCAAAUCCUACUUGUAUAAUUCUUACUAUAUUUUGUGUAAACUCAUAUGAUAUUGGUGUAAAAUUAGUUACUUGAUAAAUUUAAAUUUAUAUCAAAAUCAUAUAAAUUUACACCAAAAGUUGUAAGAAUUGUAUCGACCAGUUGAACAAAACUCAACUUGUGAGAGCGGUUUCCAUCUAAUGACAUUUUAAACUUGGUGGGACAAAUUCUUGGUCUCGCCAUGAUUCUUGUCCUUGAUGCCUAACGAAGUUAGCCGUAUUGAUGUCGUGAUACACAAAUGCUUAGAGCGAUAACGUAUUGCAUUGUUACAUGCAUAGGAGUUAUAAAAAAUUACUUCAUAAAUAUCUGCUCUGGGCUUACGUUUAUCUCAGAAAAAGUAGUAACUAGUAAACCAAAUCUAGCUCACUGAAAAGGAUGAUGAGCAUUCAUUGGCUAUGGAAAACUCUAGCCUUAGGCUGCAAUUUGCUAUUUGCUUCAAGAUUUGUUGUUGAUGAAGAAGAGAGGACAUCUGCACAUGUUAGGCAAGAAUCCGGACCAAGAUCUGGCAAAAUUGGACAGAAAACAUGGUCCUAUAACGUGCAUGCGAUUUGGUUAUGUCCCAGCAAUCAUUGUCUCAUCCCUGAGGCAGCUGAGAAGUUCCUCAAGACUUAUGAUCAAGUUUUUGCCAGUAGGCCUCAUCAUGAAGGUUCUUGGUACAUUGCUCAUGAGCUGUGAAACUCGACUUUUGGCCAAAUGGUACAUUUUGGCGAAACAUGCGUAAGCUUUGCAUUUUAAGGUUGUUAAGUAACUACAAGAUCAAAUUGUUUCUCCCAAUGAGAAUAGGAGAGAUUGGGAUUUUAGUGAAAUCAUUAAAACAGGCUGCUUUUCACGGUGCUGCUGUCAAUCUUAGUGCAGCCAUUUCGUCCUUAGGUGCAAACAUGAAUUGCUUGAUGAUAUUCGGAAAAAUGUGUAUGGAUAAGGAUUUUGAUUUUGAUUUUGAUGAUAGGGGGUUUAGAGAGGUCAUUGAAGAAGCAUUGCAUGUUGCAGCAAUGGCUAACCUCUGUGAUUACUUUCCCCAGCUUCGUGUGCUUGAUCUUCAGAGAUUUGCACGUUGGUUGAAAGCUCUGUCUAAGGUGUUCGAUAAUUUUCCAAAGAAAAUAAUUAAUAAGCAUCUUGAAUCCAGGGAGCACAAGCAAACGUACCAAUGAUAUUUGCCACCCAGAGUUCAUGUAAAGCUCUACCUCAACUCUUUACCUAUAAUGAGUUAUCCAGUUGGGGAUGACUCCAGUUCGUUUUGUGUUAGCACAAUUGGUGCAUUGUUUGAAUUGGGAACUUGCAGAUAACAUUCAACCAAGUGAUUUGGAUAUGUCUGAGAUUUUUGGAAUUGCUACUUCAAGAGCUAAGCAUCUAAAGUGGUACCAACUUACCGAUUAUGCUAAUGAAUAAAGAUUGUGAAUUCCAGUUCUCAAUUCUGAAAAAUGUUGACAAGGACCUAUAAUGCAUUAGCAUAACGUUCUUCUUUUAAUAGUUUUUCUAACAAGGGAAAUGUGAGAUUUAAAAAGCAGGAAAGGGGUAGGAAAAUUAGAACUCAAGAUCUCUAAUUCUUGAGUUUCAACCUUAGCAUAAUUGAAGGUGUAUUUUCAAGGAUGAUUUGGAUACACAGGAUUGCAAUGUUUUGAAACUCAUACCAGCCAUCGAUUUGGUCGAGGUCAUGGGUCGGGGAUGGUCGAACACAUCCAAGAAUCGAAUGAUAUCAUCAUGAUUUCAUCAAUAUAUUUAAGGGGCAAAUUCUACUUUACUCCCCUGUGAUUUAGCAUUUUUUUACAUAACCCCCCUAUAGUUUCAAAAGCUAUACAUAACCCCCUUAUGGUUUGGAUUAAAGUGUCAAAGUGACGGGAAUGAUCAUUCAUAACGGCGUCACCUAAAAUGUCAAAAUUACCCUUAUGUAAAGUUGAAAUUUAUGUAUUAAUCCAGGGGGGUUAUGUGUAUAUUUUGAAAAUUAUAAGGGGGUUAUAUGGUAAAAUAUUAAAUCAUAAGGGGGUUAUAUGGUAAAAUAUAAAAAUCAUACGGGGUUAAUGUGUCAUGUGUUUAUAAGAGUAAUUUCAACAUUUUUAGAAGUUCCGUUACGAGUGACUAUUUCCGUUACUUUGACACUUUAAUCCAAACCAUAGGGGGUAAAAUGUAAUUUACCCUAUAUUUAAUUUUAAAAUUUAAUAUAUUAUGUAAAAUUUCUAAAAACAUAUUAAUACUAAGAAAGACAGGUUCAAUGUAUGUUUGACGUUUCUAAGAUACUUUACAAGAAAAUACAAAUAAGAUAGUAUAAUUAAGUAGGAAUUUAUACAAUAAUUUAAUGCAUAUUCAACAAGUUUAGAACCAAAUUGGAGAGCUUAUUUGAAAAGUAAUACAAAAAUUUAGGGCUAUAGCUAUAAGUUCUAAAAUGGUUCUAGGUGUAUUAAUAGUUUUCCAGUACUCUAGGGGUCAAAUCAUAAAAUUGAUAAAAUGUUUCUAGGUGAAUUAUAUAUGUGUGUGUGUGUGUGUGUAUUAUUUUUUAUCCCUUUGUGAGCGAGAUUUAUGGUAAGAUAUGUGAAGAGAUUUGAAAGUAGUUAAAAGAAAGAAUCAAAAAAGGAACACAAAAAAGGUCAAAAAGGAAAGGAUGAAAAAAAAAAAAAAAA